rnacentral:rRNA from 1 species
AGAGUUUGAUCCUGGCUCAGAACGAACGCUGGCGGCAGGCCUAACACAUGCAAGUCGAACGCAUCCUUCGGGGUGAGUGGCAGACGGGUGAGUAACACGUGGGAACGUGCCUUUCGGUUCGGGAUAACCCAGGGAAACUUGGGCUAAUACCGGAUACGUCCUUUGGGAGAAAGAUUUAUUGCCGAAAGAUCGGCCCGCGUCUGAUUAGCUAGUUGGUGAGGUAACGGCUCACCAAGGCGACGAUCAGUAGCUGGUCUGAGAGGAUGAUCAGCCACACUGGGACUGAGACACGGCCCAGACUCCUACGGGAGGCAGCAGUGGGGAAUAUUGGACAAUGGGCGCAAGCCUGAUCCAGCCAUGCCGCGUGAGUGAUGAAGGCCCUAGGGUUGUAAAGCUCUUUCGGCGGGGACGAUAAUGACGGUACCCGCAGAAGAAGCCCCGGCUAACUUCGUGCCAGCAGCCGCGGUAAUACGAAGGGGGCUAGCGUUGUUCGGAAUCACUGGGCGUAAAGGGCGCGUAGGCGGCCAUUCAAGUCGGGGGUGAAAGCCUGUGGCUCAACCACAGAAUUGCCUUCGAUACUGUUUGGCUUGAGACCGGAAGAGGUCAGUGGAACUGCGAGUGUAGAGGUGAAAUUCGUAGAUAUUCGCAAGAACACCAGUGGCGAAGGCGGCUGACUGGUCCGGUUCUGACGCUGAGGCGCGAAAGCGUGGGGAGCAAACAGGAUUAGAUACCCUAGUAGUCC